CAAAAAUAAAGAGACAAUGCUAGACUUCAGGUCCUGAGACACUGUACAUGAAAAUAAAGCCCAGAGCCAGUGAGGACAUCAUUAAGGUGGGAGUAAGGUAAAGUGCAGCCUGUCUUUAGAUAAGAGGCCAUGCAAGGUUGAUGGUAUAUUCCUCUGGGGAGGGAGACCUGGGUGCAGACAUUUAUUAUUAAUUUUCUUAAAACGGGUGAAAGGGCUCCUGAUAAUAAAGCAUCAUGUAGAAGGCCUUUGUCUUUCCUACUGAACAUUAUAAAUAUACCUCCACUAAGCUAGCUCCACUGGACUAGAAAAAUUACUCAUAAGCCAAUCAUCUACAUUAUACACAAUUCUUUUGCCACUAUUCUGCUAAUGUGUACCAUGGGACAGAUUGCACUCUCAUCAUUUUGAAAAAGGGAAACACAGCAAAUAAAGAGUCCAGGAGUGCAGGCAGGGCUGGUGAUUAGGAAAGCAAGUCAAAUCAGUGAAGCCCUGUUUUAAGUGUGGAUAAGAAUCACCUAGAGAUUUGUUUAAACUAUGCAGAGGUGUUUUUAACUGACUGAAACCAUCUAUAGGACAAAGUCCUGGGCAAGUAAUUGUUUUGUUCUUGUUUAUAUUCUUCAAGAAAUUAUUGGGAUGCUGAUCAAUAUUUGAGUCUCUCUGUUUAAAUGUUUUCAAUGCUAUCUCUUUACCAUUAUAAUAAAAUAUAAAUACCUGAGCAUAAAUAAUAAAGCUGCUGCUUGUCAACAAAUAUCUUCUCCCAUUUGUUCUCUCUGUUCAUAGCAUACUGGCCUCUUUCAACGCACAAAAUGCCCCACAACUGUUCCAAAUAAAUAGGACUCUUCACAGGCUGCUCCUUCUUUGAGGAAUCCUCUGACACUGCAUGGUUGGCUGGUUUUCAUUCUCAGCCUCAAAUCAAAAUCACUUCUUCACAAAGGCUAGUCCUGCUGGCCCUAUUUAAGUCUAUGCACUUUACGCUUGUCUUACUCCAUUUUCUGUUGCUUAUAAUGAAGUAUCUGAAAAUGGAUAAUUUAUAAAGAAAAGGAAUGUAUUAUUAUUAUUUCUACUCUACUCUGACGGAUUAAGGAGUUUAUUUCUUAACAAUUAUGGGGGCUGAGAACUCCAAAGUUGAGGGACUGCAUCUGGUGAGAGCCUUCUUGCUGGUGACAACCCUGCAGAGUCCCAAGGCAGCGCACAGACCAUCAAUGGGUAAUGGGGGCUGAGUGUGCUAGCUCAGGUGUCUCUUUUGCUUCUUACGAAGCCAUGUGUCCCACUCCCAUAAUAACUCAUUAAUCCAUUAAGCCAUGAAAGCCCUUGUGACCCAUUCACCCCUCAUAGAUCCCACCCAUUGGGGAUUAAGUUUCAACAUGAGUUUUGGAGGAGACAAACAUUCAAACCACACUCUCUUAGCACACUCUUUCUCUUUUCUUUGUUUUUUUGAGAUGGAGUUUCUUGUUGCCCAGGCUGGAGUGCAGUGGCACAAUCUCAGCUCACUGCAACCUCUGCCUCCUGGGUUCAAGUAAUUCUCCUGCCUCAACCUCCCCAGUAGCUGGGAUUACAGGCACCCAC
rnacentral:lncRNA from 10 species